rnacentral:ncRNA from 2 species
GGGAAUGGGGUGCAACUCCCCAACUGUGCCGCAACGGUGACUCACAUCCGUUCGACAUAAAUUAUUACAAACACCCGUUGUAAAAGUAUCUAUAGCAACAGGAUAAAGUAAUAGUUUACUCCGAACAAAGUGAGGAGUCCGAAAACC